GCCUUGUGCCUGAAAGGGCGACGGCACUGCCGGAGCGAGAAGUCAGCAGAGGUCGUAGUAGUGGGAGUACGAGGCCGGUGAGGCUGAAGGGAAACCAUGAAGGAC
rfam:Pseudomonas sp. BRH_c35 BRHa_1000928, whole genome shotgun sequence.